UGGACUUGACAUCCUGGUGAAAGCCCUGCUUUCACAGGGCUUUCACCAGGAUGUCAAGUCCAGGUAAGGUUCUUCGCGUUGCUUCGAAUUAAACCACAUGCUCCACCGCUUGUGCGGGCCCCCGUCAAUUCCUUUGAGUUUCAGCCUUGCGGCCGUACUCCCCAGGCGGGGUGCUUAACGCGUUAGCUGCGACGCUGAAAGGGUCGCUCCCCCCAGCAUCUAGCACCCAUCGUUUACGGCGUGGACUAC
rnacentral:misc_RNA from 1 species